rnacentral:rRNA from 1 species
ACAGCAGUAGCCGCGGUAAGACGAAGGAUGCGAGCGUUAUCCGGAUUCACUGGGUUUAAAGGGUGCGUAGGCGGGGCUGUAAGUCACAGGUUAAAAACCGGUGCUUAACAUCGGGAAUGCCUGUGAUACUGCGGUUCUUGAGACAGUUAGAAGUUGCUGGAAUAUGGCAAGUAGAGGUGAAAUUCAUAGAUAUGCCAUAGAACACCGAAAGCGAAGGCAGGCAACUAUGACUGGUCUGACGCUGAGGCACGAAAGCGUGGGGAGCAAACAGGAUUAGAUACCCCCGUAGUCCCUGUCUCUUAUAC